rnacentral:lncRNA from 1 species
AUGGAUUUUUAUUUUUUGGAAAUUUAUUAACAAACAAAUGAGGCCCACAGGGAACCAUUUAUACAUAGAGCAAUAUCCAAGGGAGGAUGAAGACACAGCUCAUCGGAUUCCCUUUUUCUUCAUCAUCUUCACAUAAACAAGGGGGGCUCCAUUUUUGUUUUGAAGGGAGAGAGUAGCAAUACACAGACCAUCAUCUAUCUCCUUUCUUAUUUCUUGUUUUUGGGAUUCACUCUCACGCCACACACACAGAGACGCCAUAGUUAACACCUCACAGAUCCUCACUCUCUAUACACAAACGAAAAUCACGCACACACACACUCAUAGAUCACCGGAGUACCCAUUCCCUCAUCGAAAAUAUACACACGCUUAGUAAGGACGGAAUAAAAAAUGGCGGGGUCUUGAUAUUUUAGCGGGAAUCAGUGGAAUCGGAGCAGAAUCCGAUCAUUCCUUAAUCUUUUCCGACGAACCCUUCGACGGAAUUGAACGUUUAGGGUCACUUCCAGUUCUUUCGCUGCUUGCUAGCACUCGCCGGAACUCCAUCUGUGCGGUUUUCCUUGAUAUUCUCAUAAUUUUUUUGGUUUUGGGGUUCACUGUUCUCGUGGGUUCUGUGUUUGAAUUGAUUUCGGAUAUGGGUCUCUGUUAUUUCUCAAUUUUGGUUCGAUUUUGGCGAGAAACAGUGAAGGCUUUACCAAGUUGGGGUUCGUUGUUGAGGUUUUCUUUCUCGGGAUUUCAAAUUCGGGUUUUCUUGAAUAUUAUUAUCAACGAAAAUCAAUCAUUGAAAGGUCCAAUUUUAUCGUUUCUUAUUUUAUUUCGUCAUAUGUGUUUGAUUUAGUUGAAUAUUGGGUGAUAUUGAUUUGUGUUGCUCGGCUUCGUUGAAUAGAUGGUUGUGGAUUGUUGAAAUAGUAAUCUUGAAUUUAUUGAAAUUUGGUGUUAAAAAGGAAUGCGAAGGGUUGGAUGAUAGAAAUGGAUAAAAUGAAUUUUGUUUAGUCUUGGUUUACUGUUAUUGGUUAUUUUGGAACAAAUAUGAAGGUCGAAUAUGGUAGUAUUAUGAUUAGGCCGUCAAAGGAAUAGGCAAAAGCUUAGGUUCGGGUAGGUAAAUUUAGGAAUGAUGUCGGAUCGAAUGCGUGGAAUAUUGAAUGUGUUAAAUGCUUUUCUAAUUUAUCUCAUGAAAUUGAAAAUUGUAUUCAUUUGCUAGGGAAUGACCCAAAGGAGUUGUAUUUACUCACUGGGGAAUGCCCUAAAGUAUCAUGUACUUGAAGACGGUGCACAGUCAAGGCCCGAACGUCGGGUGGAGUUUCAUUCAAGAGUAGUUUAGGGAUAGUUUAGAAUAGAAUAGGUUUACAUUUUUUGCAUUUUUUAUUAUUCGGGACUGUAUAAUUGAAUUGGACACUAUAUUUUUGAUUUGUUUUGUUUUUAUUUGUUUGAUUGAUUGUUUUGCGUGUUUUCGUGUGGUUUAUACAUUCGUAGUGUUAAAUUAGCCGAUAUGCUCCACCAAGCGACCGUGGUCGAACCACGGGAUCGAGGGGUGCCUAACACCUUUCCUUCGGUCAACAGAAUUCUUUAGCCGAAAUCUCUAUUCGCAAAUCAGUCUUAAAGAGUCAAAUUAUUUUGAAAAGAUUUUUCAAAGGUGACUUGACACACCGGAUUAUGCCAAGUGGCGACUGUGAGUUUUGAAUGUAAAAAUAAUCCCUUUUCAAAACAAUUAUCUUCAUUUUGUCACUUUAAAAAUAAAAAUCCUUUCGACCCUUAAAACGAAUCAUUUGGAGUACGAAAAAGGGGUGUGACAACUCUGGCGACUCUGCUGGGGACCAUUUCAGAAUUCGAGUUUACUUUUGGAGUUGUAGUGGCUUAGUUUGACAUUAUGGGUGUAUAGACGUAUGUGUUGUUUUGUAUUAUUGUCUUUUUCAUUAUUGAGUGCCUACUUGCUAUGUGUUUAUAUUUUUUUUUAAUGUGUUACCGCUUUAUAUCUGGCAUCAUGUGCAUAACCCGAGUCAUUCUUUCCGCAACAAGUCCGU